GGUGAAAAGCACCCCGGCGAGGGGAGUGAAAUAGAUCCUGAAACCCUGCGCUUCCGGCCGGUCGGAGCCCCCACGAUUAAGUGAUGGGGUGACGGCGUGCCUUUUGUAGAAUGAGCCGACGAGUGAGCCGUGCGAGCGAGGCUAAGCCAGGGACAGGCGGAGCCGGAGCGAAAGCGAGUCCGAAAGGGCGGCAAGUUGCGUUCAGUUGACCCGAAACCGGGUGAUCUACCCUUGGGCAGGGUGAAGCGCGCGGAACACGCGCGUGGAGGCCCGAACCCGUGUCUGUUACAAAAGGCAGGGAUGACCUGAGGGUAGGGGUGAAAUGCCAAGCGAACCCGGAGAUAGCUGGUUCUCCUCGAAAGCUAUUUAGGUAGCGCCUCGUAUGAAUCUUCUUGGGGGUAGAGCACUGUUAUGGCUAGGGGGUCAUGGCGACUUACCAAACCAUUGCAAACUCCGAAUACCAAGACAGAAUGUACGGGAGACACACGGCGGGUGCUAACGUCCGUCGUGAAAAGGGAAACAACCCUAACCAUCAUCUAAGGCCCCCAAGUACUGGCUAAGUGGGAAACGAUGUGGGAUUGCUUUGACAAUCAGGAGGUUGGCUUAGAAGCAGCCAUCCUUUAAAGAAAGCGUAACAGCUCACUGGUCUAA
rnacentral:rRNA from 1 species